rnacentral:rRNA from 1 species
UACGUAGGGUGCGAGCGUUAAUCGGAAUUACUGGGCGUAAAGUGUGCGCAGGUGGCCGCGCAAGUCGAGCGUGAAAUCCCCGAGCUUAACUUGGGAAUUGCGCUCGAAACUACGUGGCUCGAGUGUGGCAGAGGAAGGUGGAAUUCCACGUGUAGCGGUGAAAUGCGUAGAGAUGUGGAGGAACACCGAUGGCGAAGGCAGCCUUCUGGGCCAACACUGACGCUCAUGCACGAAAGCGUGGGGAGCAAACAGG